rnacentral:rRNA from 1 species
GAUGAACGCUAGCGGACAGGCCUAACACAUGCAAGUCGAGGGGCGAUCGGGGCGUAGCAAUACGCUGCCGGCGACCGGCGGAUGGGUGAGUAACGCGUAUGCAACCUGCCUUCAGCAGGGGGAUAGCCCGUUGAAAGACGGAUUAAUACCCCGUAACACAGGGGCUCCGCAUGGAGAUUAUUGUUAAAGGGAUACUUCCUUCGGGGGGUAUUCCGGCUGAAGAUGGGCAUGCGUUCCAUUAGGUAGUUGGUUGAGGUAACGGCUCACCAAGCCUACGAUGGAUAGGGGAACUGAGAGGUUGGUCCCCCACACUGGUACUGAGACACGGACCAGACUCCUACGGGAGGCAGCAGUGAGGAAUCUUGGUCAAUGGACGGAAGUCUGAACCAGCCAUGUCGCGUGAAGGAGGACGGCCCUAAGGGUUGUAAACUUCUUUUGCAGCGGAAUAAAGUAUUCCACGAGAUGGGAUAUUGCAAGUACGCUGCGAAUAAGGAUCGGCUAACUCCGUG